rnacentral:lncRNA from 1 species
AUGGGGUUAGAUGGGGUUAGAUGGGGUUAGAUGGGGGGAUAUGGGGGGGAUAUGGGGGGAAUAUGGGGUUAUAUGGGGGUAUAUGGGGGUAUAUGGGGUUAGAUGGGGUUAGAUGGGGGAUAUAUGGGGUUGUAUGGGGUUAUAUGGGGUUAUAUGGGGGGGUAUAUGGGGUUAUAUGGAGGUUAUAUGGGGAGAUAUAUGGGGUUAUAUAGGGUUAUAUGGGGGGAAUAUGGGGUUAGAUGAGGGAUAUAUGAGGUUGUAUGGGGUUAUAUAGGGUUAUAUGGGAGUUAUAUGGGGAGAUAU